rnacentral:rRNA from 1 species
AUUGAACGCUGGCGGCAGGCCUAACACAUGCAAGUCGAACGAGUGGCGGACGGGUUAGUAAUGUCUGGGAAACUGCCCGCUGGAGGGGGAUAACUACUGGAAACGGUAGCUAAUACCGCAUACCAUCGGAUGUGCCCAGAUGGGCUUAGCUAGUAGGUGGGGUAAAGGCUCACCUAGGCGACGAUCCCUAGCUGGUCUGAGAGGAUGACCAGCCACAAUGGAACUGAGACACGGGCCAGAGUCCUACGGGAGGCAGCAGUGGGGAAUAUUGCACAAUAGGCGCAAGCCUGAUACAGCCAUGCCUAGUGUAUGAAGAAGGCCUUCGGGUUGUAAAGUACUUUCGGCGGGGAGGCGUUACCCGCAGAAGAAGCACCGGCUAACUCCGUGCCAGCCGCCGCGGUAAUUC